UACGGGGGGGGCAAGCGUUGUUCGGAAUUACUGGGCGUAAAGGGUGCGUAGGCGGCUUGUUAAGUCGGGGGUGAAAUCCUGGAGCUCAACUCCAGAACUGCCUUCGAUACUGGCGAGCUCGAGUUCGGGAGAGGUGAGUGGAACUGCGGAGUGUAGAGGUGAAAUUCGUAGAUAUUCGCAAGAACAUCAGUGGCGAAGGCGGCUCACUGGCCCGAUACUGACGCUGAGGUGCGAAAGCGUGGGGAGCAACAGGG
rnacentral:rRNA from 1 species